GGCAGUCAUGGCCUAAUGGUUAGAGAGUUGGACUUGUAACCCGAAGGUGAACCUCAAGGUCGUGGGUUCAAGUCUCAGGUCUGUCA